UCAGCCCUAGGCACUCAUAUGAUCUUAUUAUGCAGUUGCGGGCGCCGUAAAACCUUACUAAAACUAAACUGAGUGAUUUUUGGCAUUACCAGUCUGUGAUUCUAUGGGUUUUUGUGUAACUUGUGGGAUGUGCAUGUGACGUCUCAGGGAAUAUUUCCAGUUCAUAGAAGGUCAGAAGAGUGCCAAAGGGUGGGAAAAGCAAGCCUCGUUCCUUCACGUUGUGGAUUCUUCAGGUUUUGGUAACAGAAUAAUUGAUCCGAAAAGGGAAUUGAUUAAAGUAAAG